rnacentral:rRNA from 1 species
AAUAUUGUACAAUGGGGUCAACCCUGAUCCAGCCAUGCCGUGUGUGUGAAGAAGGUCUUCGGAUUGUAAAGCACUGUAAGCUGGGAGGAAGGGCUUUAGGCGAAUACCCUGAAGUUGUGACGUUACCAACAGAAUAAGCACCGGCUAACUCUGUGCCAGCAGCCGCGGUAAUACAGAGGGUGCAAGCGUUAAUCGGAAUUACUGGGCGUAAAUCGCGCGUAGGUGGUUCUGUAAGAUGGGUGUGAAAUCCCCGGGCUUAACCUGGGAACUGCUUUCCUAACUGCUGAGCUAGAGUACGGUAGAGGGUAGUGGAAUUUCCUGUGUAGCGGUGAAGUGCGUAGAUAUAGGAAGGAACACCAGUGGCGAAGGCGACUACCUGGACUGAUACUGACACUGAGGUGCGAAAGCGUGGGGAGCAAAC